CACGCGGGAAUCCAUCGUCUGUAGGAUUCUUUUAUAGAAAUCGCAAAAAAGGUAUGUUGCUGCCAUUUUGAAAGGAUUAAAAAGCACCGAAGUAAUGUCUAAACCUAAUGAUUUAAAAUAAAACAAAGAUAAAGGAUCCCGGAACAAGGAAACACCUUUUUAUUGUCUUAAUAACUGAAUCGAACUGAAGAAUCCAAAUAUCGAUAUACAUAGAGAUUCACCGACUACAUUUCAGCCAUCCAACGAUCCUGAUCUAUUUGAAAAUUGCUAGAAUUGAUAUAUCAAUGUAUCAUAUUUCUGCAGGCAUAAGAGUUUUUCCUUU
rnacentral:lncRNA from 1 species